rnacentral:rRNA from 1 species
GACGAACGCUGGCGGCGUGCUUAACACAUGCAAGUCGAACGGAAAGGCCCUGCUUUUGUGGGGUGCUCGAGUGGCGAACGGGUGAGUAACACGUGAGUAACCUGCCCUUGACUUUGGGAUAACUUCAGGAAACUGGGGCUAAUACCGGAUAGGAGCUCCUGCUGCAUGGUGGGGGUUGGAAAGUUUCGGCGGUUGGGGAUGGACUCGCGGCUUAUCAGCUUGUUGGUGGGGUAGUGGCUUACCAAGGCUUUGACGGGUAGCCGGCCUGAGAGGGUGACCGGCCACAUUGGGACUGAGAUACGGCCAAGACUCCUACGGGAGGCAGCAGUGGGGAAUAUUGCACAAUGGGCGGAAGCCUGAUGCAGCAACGCCGCGUGCGGGAUGACGGCCUUCGGGUUGUAAACCGCUUUCGCCUGUGACGAAGCGUGAGUGACGGUAAUGGGUAAAGAAGCACCGGCUAACUACG